rnacentral:rRNA from 1 species
UGAGGAAUAUUGGUCAAUGGGCGAGAGCCUGAACCAGCCAAGUAGCGUGUAGGAUGACGGCCCUAUGGGUUGUAAACUGCUUUUAUGUGGGGAUAAAGUGCGUGACGUGUCAUGCAUUGCAGGUACCACAUGAAUAAGGACCGGCUAAUUCCGUGCCAGCAGCCGCGGUAAUACGGAAGGUCCGGGCGUUAUCCGGAUUUAUUGGGUUUAAAGGGAGCGUAGGCUGUCUAUUAAGCGUGUUGUGAAAUUUACCGGCUCAACCGGUGGCUUGCAGCGCGAACUGGUCGACUUGAGUAUGCAGGAAGUAGGCGAAAUUCAUGGUGUAGCGGUGAAAUGCUUAGAUAUCAUGACGAACUCCGAUUGCGCAGGCAGCUUACUGUAGCAUAACUGACGCUGAUGCUCGAAAGUGCGGGUAUCAAACAGG